AACGAACGCUGGCGGCAUGCCUAACACAUGCAAGUCGAACGAGACCUUCGGGUCUAGUGGCGCACGGGUGCGUAACGCGUGGGAACCUGCCCUUAGGUUCGGAAUAACUCCCCGAAAGGGGUGCUAAUACCGGAUAAUGUCUUCGGACCAAAGAUUUAUCGCCUUUGGAUGGGCCCGCGUUGGAUUAGCUAGUUGGUAGGGUAAAAGCCUACCAAGGCGACGAUCCAUAGCUGGUCUGAGAGGAUGAUCAGCCACACUGGGACUGAGACACGGCCCAGACUCCUACGGGAGGCAGCAGUGGGGAAUAUUGGACAAUGGGCGAAAGCCUGAUCCAGCAAUGCCGCGUGAGUGAUGAAGGCCUUAGAGUUGUAAAGCUCUUUUACCCAGGAUGAUAAUGACAGUACCGGGAGAAUAAGCUCCGGCUAACUCCGUG
rnacentral:rRNA from 1 species